rnacentral:misc_RNA from 1 species
AAACUUGUUAAAGCUCAAUCUCACUGCUGUCAGUGACCAGCAUGAAUAAAGGGUCGGUGGCAAGCUGCCAGUAAACUUAUUGUUACCAAGGUCAAGGAUACGAAGCUUGACAAGUUUAGAGAAAUUAAAUGCCACAAGAUCUCCUUCUAAGUUGUUGAAUCGUAAAUUCAAAGUGACAAGGUUGGUACAGUUGGCAAGGGAUGCAGGAAGCGGGCCUGUGAGAUUGUUGAUAUGUAGGAGCAAUUGUUCUAAGUUGUAAAGCUUACCAAUAUCAGGAGAGAUGAAACCAGUCAACUGAUUACCAUAGAGCUCAAGAAUUUUGAUAUUGGUCAGUUUGAUGAUGCCAGGGCUUAGGGGUCCGGAGAGGCCAUUUGAAGGUAAAGAGAUUUCUUGAAGGGAGACAAGUUGGAAUAUGUCCUGGGGAAGUGGUCCUGAAAGAUUGUUGAAACCUGCCCGAAAAACCUGAAGUUGGGAACACUGCCCAAGGGUGUUGGGUAUUAGACCACCAAAAUCAUUGUAGGAGAAAUCAAGAAGCUUGACAGGCACAUAAGAAUUGAGACAGAUGGAGGAAGGAAUAGAUCCUGUAAAGCUGUUGUCACUGACAUUAAAACCGACCAAGUUUGCAGCUAGCUGGAAGAAAGUAGAAGGGAUUUCCCCAUGAAAAUUGUUACUGGAUAAGUCUAUCAUCUUAAUAUGCUUGGAUGGAAAGAAGGAUGGCAAUUCACCAUCAAGGAGGUUGUUACUCAAAUCAAGAGUCUCAAGUGCAUCCAAGGACAAAAAGAAAUCACUGACAAGAGAACCAGAGAAUCGAUUGUGGGAUAGAUUGAGUUGAGAGAGAAGUUUCAGGUUCCAGACAGAUGAGGGGAAAACACCAAUUAGGCCUCUUGAAGGCAGCCAUAGACUGGUUACUUUCCCAUCAGCAUCACAGCCAAUCCCUUCCCACGAGCAACAGUCAGCGGAUACCGACCAAUUCAAUGGUGGGGAAGAUGAGAUGUUGAGAGAGAAUGACAAAAGAGAUUGACGAUCAAACUGGCUGCAAGCAUGGUGAAGAGAAGGAAGGUAACAGAGCAAUAUCAAUACAAGAGCAGAGACCAAGUUUAGCAUGGUUUAACUUGAAGUAUAAGACGUUUAGGUUCCUUGUCAAAUUCUCAAAUGGAAAGACCUGUAAAACAAGAACUGAACAAGCAAUCAAG